rnacentral:rRNA from 1 species
AUUGAACGCUGGCGGCAGGCCUAACACAUGCAAGUCGAGCGAGCGGCGGACGGGUGAGUAAUGUCUGGGAAACUGCCCGAUGGAGGGGUAUAACUACUGGAAACGGUAGCUAAUACCGCAUACCAUCAGAUGUGCCCAGAUGGGAUUAGCGAGUAGGUGGGGUAAGGGCUCACCUAGGCGACGAUCCCUAGAUGGUCUGAGAGGAUGAACAGCCAAACUGGAACUGAGACCCGGUCCCGACUCCUAAGGGGGGAAACAGGGGGGAAUAUUGCACGAUGGGCGCAAGCCGGAUGCAGCCAUGCCGCGUGUGUGAAGAAGGCCUUCGGGUUGUAAAGCACUUUCAGCGGGGAGGCGUUACCCGAAGAAGAAGCACCGGCUAACUCCGUGCCAGCAGCCGCGGUAAUAC